UAGCCGUUGGAAACGACGAAUAAUACCCUAUGACAUAAACUCUUCGCAUGAGGAGCUUAUCAAAGAUUUAUCGGUGUAAGAUGGACUCGCGUCUGAUUAGCUAGUUGGUGAGGUAACGGCCCACCAAGGCGACGAUCAGUAGCCGGCUUGAGAGAGUGUACGGCCACAUUGGGACUGAGACACGGCCCAGACUCCUACGGGAGGCAGCAGGG
rnacentral:rRNA from 1 species